ACUUGGUGUCCUAUUGAAUGACUGAGCUGUCAGUUUAUUUCAAUUCGCUCAAGCGCCCACGCGACCACUCCGCCCGGAGAGAAAAAGAGGGCAGACUCCCAUGCAGUCAGAAUGGACUUGUACAUGACUCCGCUUAUCAGAAUUGCGAAUAACGCGCUACUUGAUGGAAAAAUACUGGAUUUGGUGUGUAGUGGAGACAGUACACAAACCUGUAAAGUCAUUCAGGAAGGAUUUUUCGAAGGGCGUUUGAGUCUUUACCCAGCAACAAUGUCUACCACUACAUUUCUUUAUGUCUUGGCCACCCAUAGAAACGUGUAGAAAUCCUUUGGCGUUAACUGAAGUAGUCGUGUUGUUUGUGCUAAGUCAUCACAUUUCAGUUUUGGAAGUAUAUAUCUAUUAGAUUUGGAAAACAAAUGUAAUUUGGCCCUAUAUGACUGUUAUUAGCUUAGUUGUGUUGUUUCAGAUUUGCACACUAGGUCAUUAUAAGAAAUGCAUUAUAAGUCUGUUAUUCCCACAAUGCAUGUCAGAACGGCAUGAUGUGGAUUUCUGAUUAUAAUGUAGGAAGGUGGAGAGCACCAUUAUGCCUCACCAAAUCAUUCA